AUCACCACUUUCUGAUGAUGAGUACGGAAAGCUAUCAGAUACAUCAACACCAACAAUGACCCCAAACAAUGUACAACAAUAAGUUUGCCUGUCGGUCAGUUCAGCGCUUUUGUUUGCUAAUCCCCAUCCCUGCUGAUCUUCCAAUACUAAACAACUGUGCUGUCAGCACUCUCACUGCUGCAGCUGUGCAUUCAGCAUCGAUGUGUCCCCGCAGCCUCCAAAUCCAAAAUGCACACCAGAAUUAAAAAUCG